UGAUACGUUAGGUGAGGGGUUGACAAAUUACGACCCUUAUGGGAUUUACUUCUGCAGUGGCAGAACUACUGCUGCAACGGCAAAUUACCACUACAACAGUUUGGGACAGUUCAAAUAGGGGAAAAUAUUUAUUUCCCUCAUUUCCACUUCCCCACUCUAAAAAUCAUCUCAAUUUCCGCCCGUGAAACCUUUUUUGUCAAUAAUUCAAGGUAAAUUUUCAUCUCUACUACUUCAUUUACAUAUUUGUCAUCAUAAAAUCUAGAUUAGAAAAGAGUUUUUUUUGGAUGUUUUCUAGGUAAAACUUGAAGUUUAAAUUUUGGUGGUGUUUUUGCACAAAAUGAUAAGCAUGAUAGAUUCUCUUACAUCUCUAAUGCUCCUACAAUAUUCUAGAGGUAAGAUUGACUAGUUCAUGGUAAAUUUUGGGCAUGGAAAGGGUAGAAGAUAAAGGGUCAUCUUUUCUUAUGAAUUUGGACAAUUUGGGCUUCACUUUGGGUGUUAACCACUCCUAUUUUAGUGUAAACAUGUUCAUAUGAGCUUUACCAAGCUCGAUCUAUGCUUAGAAUUCAAAAUUUCGGAGAAAAGUCAAAAUACCCAACAUGAGAGGGAGGUUGGCUAGUUGGGGACGAUGGUACCACUACAGUAGUAGGUUGCUGCUAUAGCGGUAGGUUGUCGCUUCAGCGAUAGUACUAUCAUUUCAGUAGCACCCCUGGCAGUAGUUCUAGGAUUCUAAUUUUUUUAGAUUUUUUUAUAAUAUCCCAACUUGGUCUCUAUUACUUAUUUGCAGUAGGAUUAUCAUGGAGCACUAACACCAAUGUUGAAUAUCUUCAAACUCUGCCAACUGUGACCGUUAUGAGAAUAGGCAACAUGAAGGGGCAUGCUCUAUGGAAGAGGUUUUAUGAUAAGGGAUGCGAAGGAUAAGACACCAAAAAUUUUAUGACCAUUUGAAGGUCUUUGUGUGGGAGAUGCUGAUGGAGACUAUUCCUGAGUGCAACUUAGACCUAGUUCGAGGGUUUUAUUUCAUAGCCAUGACAGUGAAGUGGUUGGUACCCCUCUCCACCAUCCGCAUUUGGGGGAAGGAUGUUUUAGCAGAUGUUGCCACUAUUAAUUAUGAGUGUGUGUGUGGGGGGGGGAAGUAGUUCAACCUCAAAGGGACCAAGAGUACUUACUGGAGGGGGGGGGGGCUCUUCAAUGCCACCUUUGAGGGUAAGGUUAGGAAGUUUCACUUGAGGUGGAAGUCUAGGGUAUUCACACUGGAGGUCCAGAAGGGUAAGGUUAAGUAGUUCAACCUCAAAGGGACCAAGAGUACUUACUUUUUUGUGGAGGUUAGGGUGUGGUUGCAGCUUGUAUUCCAAAGGAUCCAUCCCUUGAGGAAUGUGAAGAAUGUGGAUUUUCACUAGGAUAGAGUAAUGUCCUACGUUAUUUUGAGGAUCUAGAUGAACCUGGGGGUGUAGAUUAUGGAUGAGUGGCGGCACUUCUAUCCUAGAGAGGUCUGCAAGGGAUCUUUUCUUGCCCUCCUUGAUUACCGAGCUGUGCAAGAGAGUCGAUGUGUCCAAGAAAGAUCAUGAUACCUUUGAGGAGUAUGAUGUGGUGUUCAAACCACUGAGGGUUAGGGUAACACGAGAAGGAAGCAAGAAGUAGAGAAAGGUGGGAGAGGAGGGUGAGAGCAAUGGGGCCAAAUGAGGUGAGGAGUAUGGAAUCCCUUCGACUCUCGCUCUUCCAUCUCUCUGGCUGGGAAACUAAUAUUUCUACUUUAUUACGAGGUUAUUUGAAUAGGAUUUAAUUGUUUCCACAAGGUUUGGGUCCUUUGAGCUCGACUGCACCACUAGACCCAACUUGAGCCUAUGUAGAGCUCCAAAAAGAGCUAGAUGAAGAGAAGACAAAGCACCGCUCGGGGGACUGCAUUCUGGUGAGGAUGUGAAAGGUUGUGCAGGUGAUAUUCAAGUGUGCCUACCUUGCCAAGAACUCUAAAAUCUGAUGAAAAAAGACACCAAUAAGUUCUCUUUCCUUAACGGGGUGGAUGAGGAGGGUUUAUAUGCCUCAACCUUAGAGAUGAUGGCACCAACUAGAUCCCCCCUAAUUUGUUUUAUUGACAGGAUUUGGGUUGCCCCUAUUAGAGUAUGUAUAGAACAAUUUCCUUUUUAUUUCACACAUUUUAAGGACAUCUACCGCUAUCGCAACUUUAAUAAUAACAAUUUAGCGUACAAUAUGUGUCAGAAGUGAUUUUUAUUUUUAAAUAUCAUGUACAUAUGGUAAUUUUUGCAACAAAUGAAAAAUCACAACAUAGGUGAGUUAUCUGGCAGCUUACUAUCUGGGAGCAACUACAACGGCACCUUCCAAUGUCUCCUAUUUACUACUCAGUCCUAGGUCCUUUCUCACACAAUGUCAUCCCACAAAACUUUUAAGCUUCUGCCUCUCACAUCUCAGAACUUUUAGGAUCGGAAUGCACAAACUUUGUAAAUCUAUGUUACUGUUAAUGUAGUACUAAUCCCUCAAAUCAAUUAAAUACAUUGAUAAUCCUUACUUCUACUUAUGCCAAGUAAUAAACCCACACAACACCCAUAAAUUGCAAGAUACUAUGAUAAUUUGUCAGGAUUCAGGUGGAAAUUAAGAAAUACUUCAAAUCACAAAGAAAUGAGAAGUGUCUCAAAUUGCAAAAAUGAAGAUACACCUGAGAUCACUCUCGUCCCUUAAAAAAAAUUAUUCCAACUCAAACACAUAUGACACUUUCACUUAAGGUGUUCAGGUAAGCAAUAAUAUAAUCCAUUUUGAAAAAUUCACACUAGAAAUGCACGUAGCAGGCUAUCAUGAUACAAUACAAGUAUAUUGCUAAUAAGCAUCUGUGAUAAUUUAAUGGAAGGGUUACUCUUCCCAACUGUACUAACAGUUACAAUAUUUCCUAUAUUAAAUAUGUUUUCACAACCUAAAAUUUCAAAUCCUACGCCUCCUAUUAAUCUUUACCACCUAAAAUGCUACUAAUCUAGUCUUUCGAACACCUUCAAGAUACCAGUUGGGACUAACUAACCCUAAUUGUGAUACCAAUUAGAAUAUGUCAGAAACCAAUUAGACUCAACUCAAGGGGACAACACUAAAUUAGCAUGAUUAGGAGAGAAAAAGGUAGAACUAACUUCCUAGAUGCCUGAUAGCUUCCUAUAGAAUUGGUGUGGACAUCAACAUGCCAAUCUCCAUGACUCUACUCGCAUUUUCUCUUGUACUGGGGGACCGGUAAUCUGGGCUCUGAUACUAUCUUGUCACAAUCCAAAUCACAAAUCAUGUAAGCACCUACCCAACUCUAUCUUUCAUAAGAGAACCCUUGUCACCCAAUCAUUUAAUUAACGUGGAAGACAUUCAAAAUAGACUAAGUAUAAGUAACUAAAUAAACCUUUUAUUUAGAAUACACUUACUACAUUAAUACUUUGCAAAAUUUAAAUUCAACUCUUUUAAAAGCAAAGAGACUCUUUUAAUUACAAAUCAAAUGUAAAAACACAAGUAUGGGAUAAAAUAUUAACAAUAGAAGAAAUCUAUAAUUAUGAGCUAACAUUAAAAGAUAUACUUUUAAGAAUGUCGUUUUUAGAUAAAUUAUACCCACAUAUAAUAACUAGACCAGACUGGUGGUUUACAACACCAUGUAAACAAAAAGUAAGAGCAAAAAGAGUUAUUAAUAAAAUAAGAAAGAAAACUAAUUGGAUAAAAGGAAGUGAAAAAAUUACCCAAAAAUUAGAAAAUAAUACAAUGCAUAAUAUAAUAAGUAGGGAUUCGCAACAACCUAAUCUAAAUAGGUUACUAUCAUUCCGUCCAUCCAAACUCUAUGCAAAAAGGCCUAAGACAAGAAAUCUCCUGACGUUACUAUCAUUAAUACAAACAUCUAGCCCAAGUCUACUAUAAUUAAUCAUAACCUACCUCAUAGAUGAAUUAUGCUACUAUGAAUGGUGGAGAGUUGUCUGGCAUGCACAUGGCCCCUUCCCACAUCAGAAUAUCACUAUGUAUACGUCGACAUUACUUUAAUGAAGCAUAGCCUUCGGAACUUCAUUGUUCUAGGUGUUACAUAUGCUCUGGGUGUUUUGGAGAAAAAGGACAACCCAAGAAGGCUUAUGUAAAAGAGGGUUUUUAAAAUAAUCUUUGGCUAGUUGCUACCCAAGUAUCACUACAAUGGUAAAUUUACUACUGAAGUGGUGGAUCUACCGCUAUAGCGGUGUGCAACAGGCCUGGCACACUUCUUUUAAUUUUUUGUCCCAAUUAAGUUGGCACCCACUUUUUCCCAUGAAAUAAUUUCUACCAAGUCCAAAAAUGAAUUUUCUAUGUCUCAAAGUCUUUUUCGCAAAGAUAUUUAACAUAAUGAUGUUUUGAGUUGUUACAAGUAAAACAUUAAUAAUAUCAAUCCAAGAACCUCAAUCAAGCAUCAUUAUAAUGAUACAGGCAUAUAAUGCUUAAAUAAGGCCAAUAAUAUCAAUUUACACCCUGCUUAGGCAUCAAGAUAAUAAUAAGUCAAAUUAAUGCACAAAUACGAUCUAUAAUAUCAAGUCAAGCCCCCAUUUAGGCAUCAUAACAAAUGUAUUUUUAAUUCAACAAUAAUAUGCCUAAAUGAUACAAGAAUAAUCACGAAUAUGAACUUAAGAGAGUGUGUGUUGGACCCAAGACUUGGUGGAUCCAAAUGAAGUGCAAAGGAGCACCUAAAUGGACACCAAAACCGUCCUUACACAUCACCCUAGGGGCGCCUACUUGAAGUCAUUCAUUAAAGGGCCUUUUUGGUCAUUUCACCUUACUUUUGUAAUAAGUCUAUAAGUUGACUAGUUUAGGUCUUUAGUUCUUUAGUUGAUGAUUAUUGUAAGUCUUGAACUUUUGAAACACCAAGUCCUCUCUCCUUGAGGCACAAAACCAAAACAUGUAAUAACUAGGAUAUCAUUUAAGGGUGAAAUCUCUUGUGAUUGCUUGUUUGUUAAAAACGUUGGUGCUUGAGUGGUGGACCUGCUCUUGUAUCAUCGUAAGAACUUGGUGCUUUUUAACGUGUUUUGUAGUGGUUUUAGAGUUUAAUACACUCUUUAGUUACUACUUUACAUGUUUCCCUUGUGUCAAGUUAUCUAUCUUCUUUAUCAUUAAGUUUGUGUUUGCUUCCUUGUGUCGUUUUGUGUCUUGCUUGUUACGGGUAUUUGCAGGUCAGUUAUGGACUGUUUUGUGCUUCUGGAUACCGUGUGUAUCAUUUGGUAUCAGAGCCAUCAUUGAUUUCGUUCCCAUGAGAUCAAUCAUUGGUUUGUUCACUCAAAAAUAAAAAAAAGUGUUGAAAAAAACUGAAAAACUCAAAAUGGUAAUUUGUCCUCGUUUUUGUGUUUAGGCCAAAAUUUGAAGACUAGUUUUCUUGUAAUUUUUGUGUGUUUUGUGUGUUCGAGUGUUAGAUCUUUGUUUCCUAACACUAGAAGAUGUGUCCAAGGUUGAAAAUCUCACAAAAAGAGUUGUGUUCUUGAGUUUGGGGUUCUUGGCCAAGAAAGUUGUUCUUGUUGUUGUCUUGGUCGAGAUUUGUUCUUUGAGUCUAGAUCUAGGUAUAUUUCGUGAGUCUUGAGUGUUGGUUUGUUCUUCCCUAACACUAAUAGAGUCAAGAUCCAAGUUGAACUCCUACUUGUGUUGUUGUUGUGCGGAUUCAAAAGUUGGGCCGAAUUAUUGUUGGUGUUGUUGUGGUGGAUUCAAAAUUUUAACAUUUCAAGGUGUGUUGUUGGUAUUGUGGUUGUGGAUUUGUGUUGAAAGAGGUGUUGUUGUUGUUGUUGGGAGGUUCAACUUGAACAUUGGUCUUCAAAUCUUGUUGAAGGUUCUUGGUGUUCUUGGCCAAUCUUCAUGUCUUGAGACAAGAAGAACCUUCAAUAAGUAGUGUUUGAUCUUAAGACCAAGUGGAAGAGUGUAGUCUUCUUGUUUAUCUUGAAACAAGUUCAAAGACUAUACCAAAGUAGUAAGGGACAACGAGGGCUUUCAAAAAUACUAGUUACCAAAGGGGAGUAAGGGGACUUUUCAAGACUAACCAAAAGAGGAAAGAGCUAACCACCCUUCAAAAAGGUGUUUUGCCCAAAAGGUGCAAAGAAAGUCAACCUAUUUUGAAUGUGGAAAAGUCUCUAAAACUUGUGCAUUUCCCCUCCAAAAUCGAAUUCACUCUUCCACAAGUUGGAAAAACACUAAAAUUUUCAAAUUCCACAACCAUUCCAAGGCUUCCACAUCACUAUCUGCAACCAAUCAAAGGCUGCCACAUCGCCCCUUUGUACAACUAACUUAUUUGUGUUUUGUGCGUAACUUUUGGUUACAAUGGAUAACAAUGCUCUUAGUGCUAUUUUGGCUGGGAUUGAAACUCUUUCCCAUGAAGUGGCUAGAAUGAAUGCGGGUCUUGAUAGAUUAAGCUCGAAUAUGACAUCGUUUGGUGAGAAGUUGGAUCAUUUGGAGAGUCGAAGAAACUCUCGUGCUUCUACUCCCAAAACUUCACAUCCAACGAUCAAUCCUUCAAGACCACCACAAAAUUCCAUAAGCCAAGUUUCCAAUUAUCCUCAAAAUUGAGACAUAAGUAGGCCACCUCCCCCGCAAAUUGAUCAAGUCCAACAAGAAGGACUUAGAAGCGAAAUUCCUCCACCAAAACCAAACUCUCCUAUCCAAGCUCCAAAAUCAAACUCUCCUAUCCAAGUUUCAAAUUCGAACUCUCCUGUCCAAGCUCCACAACCGAAACUCCACUUCACUAAAUCAAUCCUCUCAAUCAAAGAUCCACUUUUUCGAAGCUAAGACAUCCAUGUAGAGGUAUAUGGUAGAGAGGAGCAUAAAGGAUGUGGAUUCUAUGAUGAGCCUUAUAUGAUGGAUGAAGAGUUUAAAAGAAUACCUAUGGAUCAAAGGGAUAUCGAGGGCAUGGAGGAAGAGUUAUUCAAUGGGAACAACAAGGAAUCCGCCACCAAGUGGAGGUAUGGGAAUUGAAACGGAUGAGAUUGAAGAAAAAUCUCAAGAUGGAGAGGAAGCCGAGGUUCAAAAUGAAGAAGUUGGUCGAGACUUGUGUUGAUGAGAUCCCGUGUUCCUCAUGUUCUUUGCAGACUGUUUUGGUGCCACACCAUGUUUUGCAGGCUAUUUUGAGUGGUUUCUUUUGAAGUAGACAAUUAAGCGAGGUGAAGCCGUGAAUUUAUGGCAAAUUCCUCUCAACAUGGAGAGGAUAAUAAAAGAAUAAUCACGGAUAUGAACUUAAGAGAGUGCGUGUUGGACCCGAGACUUGGUGGAUGCAAAUAAAGUGCAAAUGAGCACCUAAAUGGAUACCAAAACCGUCCAUACAUAUCACUCCAAGGGCGCCUACUUGAAGCCAUUCAUUAAAGGGCCUUUUUGGUCAUUUCACCUUUUGUAAUAAGUCUAUCAAUAGACUAGUUUAGGUAUUUAGUUCUUUAGUUGAAGAUUAUUGUAAGUCUUGAACUUUUGAAACACCAAGUUCUCUCUCCUUAAGGCACAAAACCAAAACAUGUAAUAACUAGGAUAGCAUUCAAGGGUGGAAUCUCUUAUGAUUGCUUGAUUGUUAGAAACGUUGGUGCUUGAGUGGUGGACUCUGCUCUUGUAUCAUAGUAAGAACAUGGUGCUUGUUAAUGUGUUUUGUAGGGGUUUUAGAGUGUAAAUGUGUUUUGUAGGGGUUUUAGAGUUUAAUACACUCGCUAGUUACUACUUUACAUGUUUUCUUUGUGCGAAGUUAUCUAUCUUCUUUAUCAUUAAGUUUAUGUUUGCUUUCUUGUGUCGUUUUGUGUCUUGAUUGUUACGGGUAUUUGCGAGUCACUUGUGGACUAUUUUGUGCUUGUGGAUACUUAGUGUUAUCACUAAAGUCCCACACACAUAAUACGAUAACAAUAACAAUUCCAAAACAUGAUCUCUGAACUGAAUCCCCAUCCCAUAGCUUGAUUUAUAUGAAUGGUUAACUACCUAGCCCGGUCUGAAAAAAGUAAAGUCAUAACAUAUCUAGAAAGUCAAAAUCCAAGCCUAGAACCUUCAAUGUGGAGUCUUUCAUUUAUGAAGGGUCUCAAAAUGGACUAAAUCUAUUAAAAACAUAAUCCACUCAUCAAAAAGAGUCCAACGAUACCCAUAUUGGCUAAAUUUAUUUUCGGUUCAAAAAUAGUUUGAAAAUCGACUUGAAAAUAAAAAAAAAAGGUAAAUCUAAAAUUUUAUUCAAGGGUAAAGUUCCCCACAUCAAGAGGAAUCUAAAUCUGAAAACCCAACUGAAAAUGAGUAGAAAUCGAACUUUAAAGAAAAGCCCACUUAUACUUUACUGGGUAAAAAUCCCAAAAUCCAAGUUUGAAAUCAAAGAUUUUAAGUUGUUUUGAGGAUAGAAUCAAUUGAAGAUGAUGAAAAUAUGAACUUGAGAUUACCGACCAAAUUUUGAUGAAAAUCUCUUUUGAAAUCCCCCUUUCCGAGGUCUCAAAUAUGAAAAAUGGAGAACAUUUCAAAAAUGAAAGAAUACAAUAUUCUUAUGAGUAGUACCUUGUGAUCGUGAGAGUCAAUGUUGACCAGGGCAUUAGAUUGCCUUUCGUGAUCACAACAUUCCUCUCGCAAAUAUGGAUGCUACCGGCUAACCAACUACAAAUACAACGUCCUAAUCGUGAAUGCAAAGAGAACUAACCCGAACUGACUCUAUUAAUCAUUGCGAAUGUGGCCCCUCAAUAGCAUUUGCAAUGAACAAAAUGUUACUUCUUAGCAAAUGUGACCGGAGGCCCAUGAAGGUAAAGAUGACACUAGGUACCAGCACCAACAAUUUCAUAAGCCUAGAAAUAUCUCCAACCAGAUCCUCAGGAUUCAUUCAAGACCCCUAAAAAAUAAACCACUCAUGCAUUUCAACAUUCCAAAUUAAGAAGAACCAUCAGAUUUUUAAAAAAGAGAUUAUGUAUAAAAAUUAGACCCCAAGACCUCUUUUAAGCUUAUUUUACUAGUUUUCAUCUUAAAAGUCGAAACACAGUAUUAAGGCUUGAGGCUCAAACUAACUAUGCUACUAACCCAAAAUCAACAUUCUAGAUUCAACUGAACUGACCAAAUCACCAUCCGAUGCUCGGAUCAUAAAAUACUGACCAAAGUCAAACUAACUAUCUUUAAAGCCUCUAAGGACCUCAAACUCACUCAAAUAACUCUUGAAGACAUUGGGGAUCUUACAACUAAUCCCAUAACUCAUAAAUAGAAAUAGCAACUAUGGGAAAGGGCAAAAUAUUUAAAACACAACAAAAGCUAAACAUCACAACUACAAUAGUUACAUUACAAUCAUCGGAUUCACCAGUACAUCUAACCCAUAACACACUUGAAUCAUAAACUAUCUCUCAAACAAGGUAUAAGAAUAUAAGUCGUAACCUACCUUAAAGGUUGAGCAAACACUCCAAAACCCUCACACGAUUUCCUUUCUUUUUUUGGAUCACCAAAAAAAUCUCUAAGCAUGUGAAAACGAUAUUCUACAUGAGUAUGUAAAAGAGUCAACCCCCUUAGGUUGAAUAUGAAACUUUAAUCCAAAUUGAUUCGUCCAUAAGGUGAAACUUUUUCAUCUAAAAUCAGUUAAAAUAGAUUGUUAAUUGCCCCCUCUUGGUUCUAUUAGUUUCAGAAAUACCAACCUUAAGGUAAUAUGCCCCAAUUUUUUAAUUUAAAACUUCCCUAAUUAAAUGUUGAAAUAUCGAGAAAAUCAUAAUAGCAUGUUAGAUUCUUUAACCCACGAUAAAAUCUUGAAAUAUCCUCCAAAAUCUACCUAAUUUUAGGUCCAGAGCUCUAAAAUAAGCUACAAAAUAAUUAAACCAUUUUGAUAAAUAAUCAUAAAUAAAGUUACCAAAGGUCUUCCCACUUGCAAACAAACCAACGUAAUUUGGAGGAACCAAGAUCGACUUGCAAUCAUAAUUGUGAGUCCACCCUAAUAAUUGCGAGCCUCUCAGACCUCUCUAAGGUUUUAUAAUUGCAAAUUGAAGUCUCGCAAUUGUGAGAUCUACUGAAAAUCUUAGCCCUUGCAAUUAAGUUGUAAGUUAAAAUUGGAUCCAAUAAAGUAAAAACCCAACACUGGAUACAAAGCCUCUAACCAUGGAGUACCAACCAACUUGGGACAUAACCCCGCCUAUGCCAAAAGAAAACCAAAAGUACUGGAAUAGUAAAAAGACUAAAAGGAAACAAGGCCUUUCGAAUGAUGGAGGGUUCACCACUUCACUAGCUCUUUAAUAGGAAUAUCAAAUCACUUAACGCUACAAAGAUUCAUAAAAAAGGCCUCCAAACCUACAUCAUAAAAUGAUAUAGAGUCUGAGGAUGAUCAGUGUGGAAAGUACUGGCAUGCAACCCAAGAAAAGGAAUAAAAUAUACAUUUACCAAAAACCAGUCGUAAAACAUAUGUUCAAGAACCACGAAAAUAAUAAUAUGUAGAGAUAGGGGCAAGGAACUUGAAGCAUGACCAUUUACAAAUUUAGUUUUGAACUAUGUAGCUCAUACUAACCUUCAAUCAUGCAUGAGCUAUAUGGGUCCAGCUCCCCCUGCAGGAAGAGCCCCAAUCCAUGUUAUCUGCAUGGAAUGAGGAUUAGGAUAAAGUCACCAAGAUAAUAUCAUUCCAAAAUAUAUUGUGUACUACUAAACCAAGCAAGUACACAGUGGUCAUAGACCCCCAACAUCAGCAAAUGUGAUUUCCACUGUUGGCCCCUUCGAGACUACACUUUCUCAGUGAAGCUACACAAUUCCCUUUAAGCCCAAUUAAAAUAUUUUCACAUAUCAUUAAUCAAGGAGUUUUCCAUUAAGGUAUUCCCAAAUUAGUAUCAUCACACCAACAUUUGCAAGCCAUUCAUAUAAUUCCAUACCAUUUUUAUUUAACCAUUUAAAAUCCAAAUUCCAAUUCGAAAAUCCAAUGUAAACCAUUUUCAAUUAAUUACACACCAUUUCCAUUUAAUCAUGCAAUGUUUCAAAAGAUGAAUUAAACACUAUGAAAAUCUCCAUUAAAAGAAUUAAAUUUAUAAGUGAAUUGAAGUUCAUAUUUUUACUAUGCAAAGUCAUAGACAUUAUGAAACCAUAUCACCAAAUUCCACCACUACCAUAAGACACAAAUGUCAGUUUACAAUUCACGCUUUUCUUUAGAUAGAAAACCAUUAGAAACAAGAGAAAACCAGUAACUUUUCAACCAAAAUUCCUCAACCCUAACUUUAAACAACCAUCAAAUUAUAAUAAUAUCAAGUAAAUAUCAUAAUCCAAAAUAAUUGAAAUAAAGGAGUGUCAUGCCUUUUUAGUGGAAUAAAUUUGAGAAGAACUUGAGUUUAGAGUCCUGAGAGUUGAAUCCUUGAGAAAAACCUUAGUUUACUUCUCUUGAGGGUCGAAAGGGGGAAAACGAUGAUAAAUUUUGGUAUCUGAUAGAUUAAUGAGGGCUAAGGAAUGCUUGAAGUCAUUUAAUAGGGUAAAAGACCAAAAAGCCCUCAUUCCAAACUUAAAAAUAAUAAAAAUUCACAUUUUGUGCCCUUGGGCAUGGUACACCCUUAUCAUGCCAGCCAAAGGGUGUGGCACGACCUUAUCGUGGUGUGCCUAGGGUAUGGCAUACUGCUACCGCAGAUGCUCACUGGUUUGGUGUCCUGAAAUGAUCCCAAACGCUUUUCAAAAAUUUCAAAACUCUCCUUAGUGGUCCCGUUACCAUCCUUUAUCAUGUUUCAAGUCAAAAAUCAUCGUUGGACACGAGGAAGGGUUUAAAAUAAAAUCGUUGAAACUUUUGGAGUCUUACAUGAACAUGUGCCUUAUGAACAAGAGUUAGAACGUCUGCUUUAUGGGCAGCAUAUCUAAGUUCUGACAUUUGCUUAUAAGGCAAAACUCUAGUCAAUUUGUGCAGGUUCAUUAUCUUAAAAUGUCAUGAACAUUUUCUAAUGGAAAAAAGUUAGAACAUGUGCCUUAUAAACAAGAGUUAUUAAGAGGUACAAAAGAUCAAAAACAUUUUUGUCAGCCCAUUUUAGGGACAUUUUAAAACUAAACCCGGUGUACACAGUCUUACCUUGCAAUUCUACAAGAAGUUAUUUGCUUGAACCCUCAUGAUCUUUGCAACAACUUUACCAAUUAAUCUAAGACUCUCCUUCACACUAACAUCUUAUACAUGUUAAAAUAUUUAUUCAAAAGAAAGUAAAAGCAACUUACUUUUGUUAAUUAAUUACACAAAAAAGACAUUUCAAACUAAAUUGUACUAAUACUAGAUUGUAUAUUAGUAUAAAAAUUAUUUAUGUAAUUGUAAUACUUUGAUGUUUACUAUUUUAUUUAUAAAUAUCAAAUAUGGUAUGGAAUAUCAAAAUAUUUUAACUAUACCAAAAUCAUAGUAUCAAGAUCAAAAAUAUUGAUUUGAUAUAUAUCGUACCAUAUUUAUCUCUAUUUAUCGCAAUCAAAAUCAUGCUUAUGAAUUAUGACUAGGUGAGAAUUAUUUGUGCUUUCAAAUAAUUUAAAAUAGGUCAAACACAUCGUCGACCCCCUAAAUUUGGUACAAACUUUCAUUUUGGCACCUCAAUUAAGCAUUGUUCAUUUUAAACACUAGAAAUAGUGUUAUAUUAUGUCAUGUUGAUACUUUUUUGACAAUUAGUAAAAUAAAUAAGGGGAGUGUGAUACACUCUCCGAUGAUGUGGAAAGCAAAAAUAAUAAUUACACGCGACAUUUUAUUUUUGUAAGUAAACUAUUUUAAAAUCUUUUAUCACCACUCCACCCUGGUCCCCAGCCUUUCCAAUUUUCUUCUCCAUUCUUCUUUUUUCAUUGAAAUAAUUCCACCCCACCCCACUUAAUUAUUUCAUCUCUUUUUUUAUCUUAUGAACUUCAUUAAAUUCCUAUUAUUUCUAUUUUGUUAUAGGUUUUUCAAUUUUAAAUUAUAAUUUUCUUCUCAAAAUUCGAUAGUGGGUCAAGUUAAAAAUGGUGAAAUUAGCGAUGGCAUCAUGAUUUUUGGUGAUGAAUAUUAAAACUAGAUGGAGGUAAGUUUGAUGGUGAUAUUGAAUUCAAUUAUGGUGUAAAAAUUGUAGAGGUGAAUAAUGAAAAUAAUGAUGGUUGUGUGGCAAUUUGCUUAUCACUAUUUUUUAUUUUAUGCAACAAUCAUGGAGGAUUUAAGGAAAGGAUUAAAGGAGGAGAAGAUCCUGAAAGUGUAUUUUUCUGGUGAUAUUAUGAAGGGGAUGAUAUGAUUCUUUGUAAGAGUAUUUUUCCGUUGUAUUUUUUCAUAUUUUUCUAAAAUUCUUCAAAAUUAGUAUGUGAUGAUUUUUUUUUCUUCUAUGUUUUUGUAAUUUCAAAAUUACUAGUGGUAGUUUGGUAGAUGAUGGUGGUGGUGAUGUUGGCAGGUGGAUUUGGUGAAGGGAGAAAAAGAAGGUUAAAAAAAUUACAAAAGAAAAAAAGCUUACCAAUGGUAGUUAGUAGGGGUGGAAUGUACAGUUGGUAAAGGAAGAAUGAGUGAAGAAGAAGGAAGUAAUAUAUAUUAGAGUUAGAGUUAUAGAAUUAGAUUUAUAUAGAAUUAGAAUUAGAUUUAAAGUUAAAAAAUUACCUACGAAAAAGUUAAAUUAAUUAUGCGAAGAUCAUUUAAAAAUAGAGAAGCUUUUAGAAAAAUUAAAAAAUCAUUAAUUAGUAAUUAUUCAGAAUAUAUAAAUCUAAAUAAAACAAAAGAAAAUCCACAAAAACUAGCCUAUUUAAUUACAUUAAUAUCUAGUAUUGAAUCAAAAUUAAUAACACAUUUAAAAUCUAGAAGAAUGAAACAUAUACCGCCUAAUUAUAAUAAAAUUAGAUUUAGAUAUCCACCAAAAUAUUAUAAAUAUAAUUUAAAAUGAAUAAGGUACAACAAUAUAAAGAAUUAAAACAAAUUAUCUCUGAAAAACGUAAAGAAUUAAAAAUAAGAAUAGAAAGACUAAAUUAUAAUAUAUUUGCCGGAGUAAGUAAAAAUUCAAUAAAUAUACAAAAAGAUGAAAUAUCAAAACUAGAAUCACAAAUAGAUAGCUUAGAAUAUAUAUAUCAACAUGAACUAUUCACAAUAAAAUGAACAAAGAAGAAUUUAUAAUAGAUGAAAAAAUAUAUGAAAACUACGAAGGAUCAAAAAUAAAAAUAGUAUUUUCUAAUCUAGGACGAAGAUAUAAGAAAAUAGGUGAACAUUUAUAUCUAAUGUUAGAAAAAGAAGAAUUAAAAUUAGAAGAUAAAUUAACAGCAAUGGUAAGAAUAGAAAAAGAAAAUGAAGAGAUAGAUAGGAAAAAAGAAAUAGAAAAAAUAAAACAACAAACUACGGAAGAAAUACGAAAAAUAGAAGAAACCAAAAAUAGUAGAAUUGCUGAAUUAGAAAAAGAAUUACAAAUGUUAAAAGAACUGUAUGAACAAAGACAAAAAGAAAAAGAAGAAAAAGAUAGAGAACAGAAAUUACUAAAUGAGAUAAAUCAAUUUAAGGAAAAAUUAGAAAUAAAAAAUGAAGAAUUAGAAAUAAAUAAUAUAGAUAUUGAAGAGACAGAUAAUUAUGAGUCCGAAGAUAGUGAAACAUACACAGAAAUAUUAACAAAUACAAAAAAUUUAGAAAUCAAUGAAGAACAAAAAAUUAAUGAGGAAAACUUAGAAAAUACCCACACAGAAAUAAAUACUCUUGAUAAAAAAGAAAAUGAAAAUAUAAUACCUAAAACAACAGAAAUAAGAAAACCCAUAUAUUAUAAGAAUAAGUUUAAAAAAUAUAAUGAAUAUGAUAAAUGGAUACCAAAACAAAUAGUGAAUAAAAAUUAUAACUUUUUAGAUCUAGACUGUGUAAUAGAUACAGAAAAAACAAUACAAUUAUGGAUAGGAUAUAUGACAAAACAAUUAUUAGAUAAUAAUAUAAAUAUAACAGAUGCACCGGAAUAUAUAGAAAAAACACUAAUAGGAUCAGUAAAACUAUGGUUUGCAAAUCUAACCGAAAAUAGCAAAAAAGUAUUAAGAACUAAUAAACCUAUAGAAGGAACAUCAUCGACAACAACUAAACUAACACCUAUAGAAUUAUUAAAAAAAUAUGAAACAGCUAUAAAAGAUGAAUUUGGUAGUACGACAACAAUCGAAGAAGAACAAAAUGAAGAAAAAGAUACAAAUAGAAAUUUAAUGUUAAAAUUAGCAAUAUGUAAUAUGUGUUAUAUAGAUGAAUAUACUUGCGCAUUUAAAGAAUAUUAUUACAAAGGAGCAUAUAGUAUAGAAGAAAGUAAAGAAAUAAGAAAAUUAUAUUUUAAUAAAUUACCCGAGCCAUUUAGUUCGAAAAUAAUAAAAAGUUGGGAAGAAGCAAAAAUAGUAGAUACGUUAGGAGCAAGAAUAAAAUAUUUACAACAAUGGUAUAGAAACUUAUGUGAAAAAUAUAGAGAAGAAUUAAAAAUGGAAAAAACAUUAAUAAGAAAUUUAGCUUGUUGCAAAAAUAAAAUAGCACCCCAAUUUGGAUGCGAAGAAAGAUAUUAUAAGAAAAGAAAAAGACAUAAGAAAUAUAAGAAAUAUAAAAAAUCAAAAUAUAAAUAUAAAAAACCAAGAAAAAGAUACUAUGUAAAAAAUUAUAAACAUAAAAGACCAUAUAGAAAAAAGAAAUCUAUAAAAGAAUGUACUUGUUAUAAUUGUGGAAAGUUAGGACAUUUAGCUAGAGAUUGUAAAUUACCUAAAAAUCCAAAAAAUAAACAAAUAUCAGAAAUAAAAAUAGAAAAUACCGAAUACAUGCAGAUAGAUUAUAUAGAUUAUGAAUUAGAAAGUGAAGAUAGUAUAUAUGAAAUUUCAGAAAACGAAACAGAUAAUGAAAUAGAUAGCGAAAUAGAUGAAUCAAAUGACUGAAGAAGAUAUAAAAAUAAUAACAAAGGAAGAAUAUUUAAAUGAUGAAGGAACGGAACAAAAAAUAAUAUUUGACAGUAAUAUAUUUGAUGAAAUAAAAGGAAAAGAAUUAGAUUUAAGUGUAGACAAAAUAUUUAAAAUACCAACAAUAAAAAAUAUUUUUACUAGGAAAAAAGAUGAAUAUUAUGUAGUAUGCCAAAAAGAACAUGUAAUAGAUUGCAGAUAUGCAAAAGGAAAAGCUAGUAUACCACUAGUAACAAAAAGAAUAAUUAAUAAAGAAAUAAAUGAUAUAAAAAGUAAAGGAGAUCCAAUAAAAUAUGUACACCUUGGAGGUACAGAGAUAUUAAUAAAAGCAUGUUUUAGAGAAGGAAUAGAUACACCAAUAGAAUUAUAUUUAGCAGACGAUAGAAUUAUAAAACCUAUAGAAAAAAGCAUAAUAACUGCCGUAAAAGGAAAUCUAAUAUACCAAAAAUUUAAAUUUAUAAUAAGUGCAAAUUAUUCAGUAGCAGUAACAGAUAGGAAUAUAGAUAAAUCAUUAGUAUUAUAUUGGAAAAUAUCAGGAAUAGAGUUAACCCCAGGAAGUAAAAUAUUUACAGCAAGAUGUAAAAAUCUAUAUGUAUUAACAACAAAACAUAAAAUAACAGGAAAAAAUAAGAUUAACAAAAUACAAAUAGAAAGCCCAUUCGAACAAAUAGUAAAAACAAUAGAUUAUAAUGAUUAUACCUAUAGAGACAUAGAUACAGAAGAAAAUUUAGAAAUAGUAAAUGAUAGAAUAAGUACAACGAAAAGAAUAGCUAAUGAAAAGCCAGAAUCAUCAAGCUCAUCAAAAAGAACAAGUUAUGAAACAAACUCAAUAAGUAAUUUAAACCAAUAUUACAUAACGGGAAAAAUAAAUGAAAAAGAAUAUUUAAUACUUUUGAACACAGGACAAGAAGAAAAUUAUAUAGCAAAAUAUCUAGUAAAAAAUGAAGAAAUAAAAACCGACAAUAAUAUAUGCCCAGACUUACCAAGAAGUUUAAUAAAUAAUAAAAAUCUAGCAGAAAAAGAAAUAAUAUUAGGAGUUAGAAAAAUAAAAAUAGAAUUCGAAGUAAAAGAAGAAAUGCAAAAAGCAGAUAUAAUAUUAGGAAUAAAAUGGUUAGAACAAGUAAAACCAUAUAAUAUAGAACAUACACAAUUAACCUUAACAUAUAACCAAGAAAAGUUAUUCUUAAAAAGAGCCUUAACAUGAAAUGAAGAUACAUGUAUUAAUGAAGAUAGUAGUAGAAGGAUAUUACAGUAGAUAUUAUACGCCUAUGAUAGAUACAGGAGCAGAAGCUAAUUUAUGUAGAUAUAAUUGCUUACCAGAAAGCAAAUGGGAUAAACUAAAAACACCAAUAAUAGUUAAAGGAUUUAAUAAUGAAGGAAGCUUAAUUACUUAUAAAGCUAGGAAUGUAAAAAUACAAGUAUGGGAUAAGAUAUUAACAAUAGAAGAAAUUUAUAACUAUGAAUUAACAUCAAAAGAUAUACUUUUAGGAAUGCCAUUUUUAGAUAAAUUAUACCCACAUAUAAUAACUAAAACAGACUGGUGGUUUACAACACCAUGCAAACAAAAAGUAAGAGCAAAAAGAGUUAAUAAUAAAAUAAGAAAGAAAACUGAUUGGAUAAAAGGAAGUGAAAAAAUUACACAAAAGUUAGAAAAUAUAAACAAUACUGAAGAUACAGUAGAACUAGUAGUAUUUUCGAUAAAUAAAACAGAAAUAACUAUAUUUUCAAUAAAUAAAAUAGAAAUAAUUCAGAAAAAAUUAGAACAAUUAUAUAGUGAAGAUCCAUUAAAAGGAUGGGAAAAACACAAAACUACUAUAAAAAUUGAAUUAAUAGAUAAGAAUAGCAUAAUAACACAAAAACCAUUAACAUAUAAUUUUGAUGAUUUAAAAGAAUUUAAAAUGCACAUAGAUGAAUUAUUAGAAAAACAAUAUAUACAAAAAAGUAAUAGUAAACAUAAUAGUCCAGCAUUUAUAGUAAAUAAACAUAGUGAACAAAAAAGAGGAAAAAGUAGGAUGGUUAUUGACUAUAGAAAUUUAAAUGCAAAAACUAUAACAUAUAAUUAUCCGAUACCAAAUAAGAUAUUAAAAAUAAGACAAAUCCAAGGAUAUAAUUAUUUUAGCAAAUUUGAUUGUAAAUCAGGAUUUUACCACCUAAAGCUAGAAGAAGAAUCUUUGAUAUUUCAUCUUUUUGUAUAUUUAUUGAAUUUUUAUUUACUCCGGCAAAUAUAUUAUAAUUUAGUCUUUCUAUUCUUAUUUUUAAUUCUUUACGUUUUUUAGAAAUAAUUUGUUUUAAUUCUUUAUAUUGUUGCACCUUAUUCAUUUUAAAUUAUAUUUAUAAUAUUUUGGUGGAUAUCUAAAUCAUCUUGGUGGAUAUCUAAAUCUAAUUUUAUUAUAAUUAGGCGGUAUAUGUUUCAUUCUUCUAGAUUUUAAAUGUGUUAUUAACUUUGAUUCAAUACUAGAUAUUAAUGUAAUUAAAUAGGCUAGUUUUUGUGGAUUUUCUUUUGUUUUAUUUAGAUUUAUAUAUUCUGAAUAAUUACUAAUUAAUGAUUUUUUAAUUUUUCUAAAAGCUUCUCUAUUUUUAAAUGGUCUUCGCAUAAUUAAUUUAACUUUUUCGUAGGUAAUUUUUUAACUUUAAAUCUAAUUCUAACUCUAUAACUCUAACUCUAAUAUACACAUCUCUUCCGUACUUUUUAAAUUGCUGAGCUCUGAUACCAUUUGUAGGGGGGUGCGUGGAAUUAAUAGGUAGGUAUAAUAGAUUUGGUACAUAUUCUUCUCACGGGCGUAAGUGUUUUGCAACGCAUACAAUGUGUUAUGUCAGUAAAAGGUGUCAAAAUGAGACACUUGGACGCUUGUUUAGGUUCUUAAAAUAAACAAUGGUUGGUUAUGGUGUCAAAAUGAAAGUUUGUGUCAAGUUUAGGAGGUUGGUGAUGUAUUUGACCUUUUAGAUAAGAAUCUUGUGUUUUAUGUCAGUAGUAUAUUUAAAAAUUAAAAGUACGCAGCACCGUUAUUGGAAUGAACAUACAACAGAGGGGAAAAGAGAGAUGGUUCAUGAUUGUAAGGAUUAGACUCUUUAGUAUUGGAGAAAUCUGGUUCAUAAAUUUUUAUUAGCUACGUGUUGACAAUCAAGUAUUAUAAUAAACAAAAUUUGACGAAAGAUAUGUAUCCCGUGAAUUUAGUCAAGAUGUCUAAAACUUUAUCCAGACACCGUAAUUAUUUAAAAAUAGACUAAAAGAUAUUGGAGGGAAUCCUCUCCCUUAUUGGAGUUUGUAGUGAUUUGGUUGCGUAGGAAAGGAAAAUAAUAUUUGCGUUAGAAUUUGAAAGUAAGGUUUGUUUGAGAUCACAUAGGACAAUAAUAUUUUCGUUUCUCAAUCGGUACGGAAAGGCCCAUGCUCGGCCUCAUAAGUCAUAAAUAGAACAUUAUAACCAAAUAUUGGGAUUUAAGUCAAAACGUAGGCACAAACAGUUGUUUAUUUUCACUUUUACUUUUAAUAAUAAAUAUAGAGUGAUAUUAAUAGGAGAAAAGCAAAACGUCCAAAAUGGCUCAUCCAAAAAAUUCAAAAAUGUGAUUAGACAUUAUUAACCCUUAGUCAUCUUAAGUGUAAUUAGGUGACAAACUUUCCCUCCAAACUACUUUUCCCUCCAAAUUGAUUUUACACCUUUUUAGUUAAUUUAAUCAUUGAUUAUAGAGAGAAUUUUAGUUAUCUAUGAUCGUGUUAUCUACAAGAAAUUUUAAUUCAUGAAAAAAAAACUUUAACCAUAAAUAAAAUAUGAAGAAACAAGAACUUUUUUACAUGAUAAAUGAUAUGGGUACAAUUCUUUCCUACCUUGGUUCUUCUAUCUUGAUUCACUUGAUUUUCUCCAUAAUUCGAGUGUAGGAUGAUCUCUUUAUGAAUAUCCCAUGAUUUUGUGGAUAUUGGAGAUCUUUGAUAUCUUUUUGAAUUAUUCCAUCAAUUUGUGGGAUAUUGGAGAUGCCUCUUUAAGAAAAUAUUUGGCCCUUUAUAUAGGCGUAAUUUAGGGUUUAGAGUAGACCAGUCACCAAGCUAAGUUUAGGAUAAAGUAGCUUCCAAGAACUCUUAACAAAAAUUGGACUCUUCUAAUAGAGUCCAAAAAAUAGAGUCCAAAAAAUUUCGAUGUGACUUAAUGAAACUCAGACGAGUCUUGAAGUACCCAUAGAGCUUCAAUAUUCAUAGGCUUGGGCUUACGUCUAUAGAUUUGCAUAUUUGAUUUAUAAGAGAAAAGAUGAAGGGAAGAUUUGAUCCCACUGGGCAUGCCAAAAUUUGUUCGCAAUAAAUUUUUACAGUGCUAAAAAUUAACUGCUAGCAAAAAUAAGUAAAAAAAUAAUUUUAUUAUAUGAAUCUUGUGAGUACAAUUUUGUUGUUCUCUUAAUUCUUUGAUCCUAUGUUUUCCAUGAUUCGAGGGUCUUUUGUAGCAUAGUUCUUGAACUCUUGGAUGAUUUGAACCUCCUAAAAUGCGUUUGGAUCUCCAAAGAUUGUUGGGCAGCAUCUUAUCGAGCUGAUCUCCGGGAAGAACUCUGUCAGACAAUUAUUUAAAGAGCUGUGUAGUCAAUGCUAAUGCUUUCUCCAAUGCUUGCAGAAUGGCAACAAAAAAUUAUGUACCCUUCUAUUUAUAGUUGUACGGGGUAGGCAGUCCAAGUGUAAAUAACCUCUUCUGUUUUAUUUAGAUUGGUCCAUCAAAUCAUCAAGCUUAUCACAAAUAUUGUUAAUAAGGUUGCUUGUUAUUGGCCAAGAAUAUGUCAUUUG
rnacentral:lncRNA from 1 species